UACGUAGGGGGCAAGCGUUGUCCGGAAUCACUGGGCGUAAAGCGCACGUAGGCGGCUUUUUAAGUCAGGGGUGAAAUCCUGGAGCUCAACUCCAGAACUGCCUUUGAUACUGAGGAUCUUGAGUUCGGGAGAGGUGAGUGGAACUGCGAGUGUAGAGGUGAAAUUCGUAGAUAUUCGCAAGAACACCAGUGGCGAAGGCGGCUCACUGGUCCGGUACUGACGCUGAGGUGCGAAAGCGUGGGGAGCGAACAGG
rnacentral:rRNA from 1 species